AACGAACGCUGGCGGCAGGCUUAACACAUGCAAGUCGAACGCCCCGCAAGGGGAGUGGCAGACGGGUGAGUAACGCGUGGGAACGUGCCCUUCGCUUCGGAAUAGCCCCGGGAAACUGGGAGUAAUACCGAAUACGCCGUAUUGGGAAAGAUUUAUCGGCGAAGGAUCGGCCCGCGUUGGAUUAGCUAGUUGGCGGUGUAAUGGACCACCAAGGCGACGAUCCAUAGCUGGUCUGAGAGGAUGAUCAGCCACACUGGGACUGAGACACGGCCCAGACUCCUACGGGAGGCAGCAGUGGGGAAUCUUGGACAAUGGGCGCAAGCCUGAUCCAGCCAUGCCGCGUGAGUGAAGAAGGCCUUAGGGUUGUAAGACUCUUUCGCCGGAGAAGAUAAUGACGGUAUCCGGAGAAGAAGCCCCGGCUAACUUCGUGCCAGCCGCCGCAGUAACAC
rnacentral:rRNA from 1 species